rnacentral:lncRNA from 1 species
CAUAAUCUUUCAAUCAGUUUAAUUGAGGUCUGGAGCUGGCAUGUCAGUUAACUGCUAGUAGUCUGUUGUUAUUUAUGUAUUAUUGUCAUUUUAUUUAUUUUCUUUUGUUACAUCUUUUGACAUCAGACUCGGACUUCUCUUGAACUGAAUUUUAAUGUGCGUAUUGUUAUUCUUUUACUUUUCUACAUUGGCUAGAGGUAUAGGGGGGAGGUUGAGAU